GACAAUCUUCAGGGCAGGGUGAGAUUCCCUACCGGCGGUAUAGCCCGCGGACCAAGUAUUUGGUAUGAUUCGGUGAAACUCCGAGGCCGACAGUAUAGUCUGGAUAAAGGAGAUAACU
rnacentral:ncRNA from 2 species